AGCUAUAUCACAUUGCAACACUACUUCUCAUCCAAUCACUGAAGUUAAGCAACAUUGAACCUGGUCAGUACCUAGGUGGGUGAUCACUCAUAAAUACCAGGUGCUGUAAG